UACAGAGGGUGCAAGCGUUAAUCGGAAUUACUGGGCGUAAAGCGCGCGUAGGUGGUUUGUUAAGUUGGAUGUGAAAUCCCCGGGCUCAACCUGGGAACUGCAUUCAAAACUGACAAGCUAGAGUAUGGUAGAGGGGUGGUGGAAUUUCCUGUGUAGCGGUGAAAUGCGUAGAUAUAGGAAGGAACACCAGUGGCGAAGGCGACCACCUGGACUGAUACUGACACUGAGGUGCGAAAGCGUGGGGGAGCAAAACGG
rnacentral:rRNA from 1 species